rnacentral:rRNA from 1 species
UACGAAGGGGGCUAGCGUUGUUCGGAAUUACUGGGCGUAAAGCGCACGUAGGCGGGUCGUUAAGUCGGGGGUGAAAUCCUGGAGCUCAACUCCAGAACUGCCUUCGAUACUGGCGACCUUGAGUCCGGGAGAGGUGAGUGGAACUGCGAGUGUAGAGGUGAAAUUCGUAGAUAUUCGCAAGAACACCAGUGGCGAAGGCGGCUCACUGGCCCGGAACUGACGCUGAGGUGCGAAAGCGUGGGGAGCAAACAGG